rnacentral:rRNA from 2 species
GCAUAUCAAUAAGCGGAGGAAAAGAAACCAACCGGGAUUGCCCUAGUAACGGCGAGUGAAGCGGCAAGAGCUCAAAUUUGAAAGCUGGCUCCUUCGGGGUCCGCAUUGUAAUUUGCAGAGGAUGCUUCGGGAGCGGUCCCCAUCUAAGUGCCCUGGAACGGGCCGUCAUAGAGGGUGAGAAUCCCGUCUGGGAUGGGGUGCCCGCGCCCGUGUGAAGCUCCUUCGACGAGUCGAGUUGUUUGGGAAUGCAGCUCUAAUUGGGUGGUAAAUUUCAUCUAAAGCUAAAUAUUGGCCGGAGACCGAUAGCGCACAAGUAGAGUGAUCGAAAGAUGAAAAGCACUUUGAAAAGAGAGUUAAACAGCACGUGAAAUUGUUGAAAGGGAAGCGCUUGCGAUCAGACUCGCCCGCGGGGUUCAGCCGGCAUUCGUGCCGGUGUACUUCCCCGUGGGCGGGCCAGCGUCGGUUUGGGCGGCCGGUCAAAGGCCCCUGGAAUGUAACGCCUCUCGGGGCGUCUUAUAGCCAGGGGUGCCAUGCGGCCUGCCCGGACCGAGGAACGCGCUUCGGCUCGGACGCUGGCAUAAUGGUCGUAAGCGACCCGUCUUGAAACACGGACC